UACGUAGGGGGCAAGCGUUGUCCGGAUUUAUUGGGCGUAAAGAGCGUGUAAGCGGCCAUACAGGUCCGUUGUGAAAACUGGAGGCUUAACCUCCAGACGUCGAUGGAAACCGUAUGGCUAGAGUCCGGAAGAGGAGAGUGGAAUUCCUGGUGUAGCGGUGAAAUGCGCAGAUAUCAGGAAGAACACCCGUGGCGAAGGCGGCUCUCUGGGACGGUACUGACGCUGAGACGCGAAAGCGUGGGGAGCGAACAGG
rnacentral:rRNA from 1 species